AUGGGCCGGCCCAAAAAGAAACCUGAGUAUCUCAAAGAAAAAGCAGACAAGGCAAAGGAAGCUGCGAAGGCUUUGGCUAGGGAAAAAGUGGCGCACUUGGUGCAGUCAUCAUGUGAAGACAUACCCGUGUUUCCUUAUGGAUACAAUGCAGAAAAGAGACCUCCUGAUUGGGUGACUGCUCCAGCUGGAUUGAAUCGAGAAAAGUUUAUUGAAGAUUAUCUUUCAAAGGACUAUCUGCCAGCAAAUGCAACUCAACAACAGUUUGAGAAUCUUUACGGUCAACUUCAUCAGUAUCAUCUAUCUAUUUCUCCUCACUCAUUGGAGAGCAACAAGAAGUGCAAUAUUAGGCCAGAGAUUGUGGUUGGUGGGAAGCUUAUCCCUGAGGAGAAGCAUGAUGGAACUCCAGUAACUUCCUAUCUUGAUAAAAAUAUGAAAAAUACAUAUCAUAUAAUACGUGUGUGGGAUGCUAGGAAGAAAGGACGUUUCUUGGAGUUUCUCCGACAGAACUGUUCUGGUUACGUUUUGGCUUGGAGAGUGUAUGCGCUUCUAGUUUUGUUCAAAUCUGCAAAAUGGUGCUACUUCUCGGAUGAACCAGCUAUUGUGGUAGAUUUGGGACAUAUUUGGACAUUUGUGAUGUCUAGACAACAUUCAACAUAUUCAGUUGUCAUGAGUUCCAAGUGGAUCCGUGAGGGAUACACGGAUUGCAUCAACCAAGCCAUCCUUCAAGACAGCAAAUAG
rnacentral:rRNA from 1 species